GCUGCGCGGUCCUUUCCAUUCUGAGGAUGCUACAGUGCCACAGGUACCGGUGAAUGGUCUUUAAUUUUGUUAAUUAUUUUUUCAAUUAUAUUAUGUACCCUAAAACACAGUUUAGUGCUUUAUAUUUAUAUUUGCUUAAAACUCCGACGUUAACGCUAAUUCAAGACCUGCAAAAUGACACCGCAGCACUUAUGGCCUCGCCCUCGCCUUUAGUCCAUAGAUCAACAUGCUUAAUCGAAUAUGACUUGAUAAUAUUGCGUUAAUCGUUUUGCAGAUCAUAUCUUGAACUGAACAAUGAUGUUUUGGGAAACCAAAUUUCAAAGAAUGUGCCGAAGUUGCAGCAAUUUCCCAAUUUGGUGGGAGGAACAGACGUUGCCAGGUAGCUGAUGUCAACAGCUUACAACCAAUGGAUUAGUUGGGAGGAACAGGCGUUGCCAGGUAUCUGAUGUCAACAGCUUACAACCAAUAGGUUGGAUUCCAGCAGAAUGGUUAAUCGCUACAGUUGAUGACUACUGGGUUUUCAGCAAACGGUUUGAAGCCAAUAUGGAUGUUGUCUCCAGCCCAUGAAGCUACAUAAGGUUGACGUUAUGCCAGAAGUAUGUGCCAAUGAUGGGCAUAUUCCUUUGAAUGCACAGACCUGUCACUCUGACAGAGGUUUAUGCCAUGGCAGAAGAGUUGUGGUGACCGGUUUGGAGCACGAUGUUGAACAGUCAAGCUUUGUAGUAUUGUGUAUCAUAACUUGAACACUUGUUUCAGUGUCAUUGUAUAUCAUUCUCAGGACAGUUUGAGAAAGUAACUGCUUGUUUUUGACUUCUCGGUUCUUUGUAUACUUUUUUUUUAUUUUUUUUUUAUUGACACUGCUUUUACGUUUAAUAAAAAUCACUGUUAC